AGCAGCAGGAACACGUCUGUGGCCACCCCACCCCGUCCGAUCUCACAAGCUAAGCAGGGUCGGGCCUGGCUGGUACCUGGACGGGAGACACAGUGUGACUUCCCGGCAUUGUGGCUU
rnacentral:rRNA from 1 species